UACUUAGGCAGCAAGCGUUGUUCGGAGUUACUGGGCGUAAAGGGUGCGUAGGCGGCUUCUUAAGUCUGGAGUGAAAUCUCCCGGCUCAACUGGGAGGGUGCGCCGGAUACUGAGGGGCUAGAGUGUGGGAGAGGAAAGUGGAAUUCCUGGUGUAGCGGUGAAAUGCGUAGAUAUCAGGAGGAACACCGGUGGUGUAAACGGCUUUCUGGACCAUAACUGACGCUGAGGCACGAAAGCGUGGGUAGCAAACAGG
rnacentral:rRNA from 1 species